GUAAUAAUUCUAGCCAACACAGCAAACACAUUAUAACAAAAUAAAUAAACCAUUUAAUUAAAUAGUAUGGGCGACAGAAACUUUAGCAUGAGCAAUAGAAAAAGUACUGCAAAGGAAAGAUGAAAUAAAAAUGAAAUAAAUAACAAAAACAAGAGAAAGAAAAGAUUAAACCUUGUACCUUUUGCAUAAUGGUCUAGUAAGUAAAACUUAACAAAAAGAAAUAAAGUUAGCCCCCCCGAAACUAGACGAGCUACUUAAAAGCAGCACUAACAAGGGCCGACCCGUCUCUGUAGCAAAAGAGUGGGAAGACUUUUAAGUAGAGGUGAUAGACCUAACGAGCCUAGUGAUAGCUGGUUGCUUAAGAAAUGGAUUUUAGUUCAGCUUAAAACGCUUUUUAAUUACCAAAAAAUAAAAAUAGCACUUUAAAGUUAAUUAAUAAAGGUACAGCUUUAUUAAUAAAGGAUACAACCUAAAACAUGAAUAAAGAUUAUAUUAAUUUAAGUAUUUAACCAUGUAGGCCUAAAAGCAGCCACCAUAAGAAAGCGUCAAAGCCCAGUUUACACAACACUUGUUAUCCCAAUAAAUAAUCUAAAUUCACACAACAUAUUAAGCCUAUCUAUUAAAUAGAUGAGUUUAUACUAGAAUGAGUAAUAAGAACAUAUUCUCUAUAUGCAUGUGUAAAUCAGAACGAACAAAUCACUGAUAAUUAACGACCAAAUAUAUUAAAAAUCAAGAAAAACAUAUUAAACCAACCGUUGACCCAACACAGGAGCAUCAAAGAAAGAUUAAAAGACUAAAAAGGAACUCGGCAAACACGAACUUCGCCUGUUUACCAAAAACAUCGCCUCUUGCUAAUAAGUAAGUAUAAGAGGUCCCGCCUGCCCGGUGAGCAAUUUUAACGGCCGCGGUAUCAUGACCGUGCAAAGGUAGCGUAAUCACUUGUCUUUUAAAUAGAGACCUGUAUGAAUGGCAAAACGAAAGUUCAACUGUCUCUUUAGUCCAAUCAAUUAAAUUUAUCUCUCCGUGCAGAAGCGGAGAUAAACAUAUAAGACGAGAAGACCCUAUGGAGCUUUAAACACACUAUUAACUAUGCCCCUACAACAGCCCGACAGGCAAAAAAUUAUAGACCGCAUAGAUGUAAUACAAGUUUUGGGUUGGGGCGACCACGGAAGAAAAAUCAUCCUCCGAGAUAAACAGUUUAGAACAACAUUUCAAAAAUUAAAACAUUUAUUAAAAAUGAUCCACUAAGUGAUCAACGAACCAAGUUACCCUAGGGAUAACAGCGCAAUCCUUUCUAAGAGUUCAUAUCGACGAACGGGUUUACGACCUCGAUGUUGGAUCAGGACACCCAAAUGGUGCAGCCGCUGUUAAUGGUUCGUUUGUUCAACGAUUAAAGUCCUACGUGAUCUGAGUUCAGACCGGAGUAAUCCAGGUCAGUUUCUAUCUAUAAAAAAUUUUUUCUAGUACGAAAGGACCGAAAAAAUAGAGCCACUUAUAAUAAAAAGCUCCUAACCAGUUGAAAACAAAUAAAACACAUAAUAAAAGACACCCUUAGAGCAGGGACAAA
rnacentral:rRNA from 1 species